ensembl:processed_transcript Gm13662 predicted gene 13662
AAACAGAGCGCAAGUUUCCUUGCAAGAUGCCAGCAGCCCCUGUGAUCAAGUGAGGGUUGUUUGCUCUUUGGGAUCCAAAUAAUUACCUGUCAGCUUUUCAGGCAACGGGCAGAAUCCAGAAAGGCCCUUUUCUCAGAAAUGCAGUUGCCCGUGGAAAACUGCCACUCCCUCACAAGUUCUUAACAGCUGUCAGCCCCAGAGCAAGUAAUUACCCUCAGCCUUCUUGUUGGAUUCCAGUGAUAGUCCCUGCCAGGGGCAGGGAACAGAUGCGAAGCGCCAGGAGUUGACGCCUCCACGAGCUCUCUGGGUGGUAUCCUCCCCAUGUCCCUCAGGUCUGAUUCCAGGCAGACCUUCGGCAGUGCGUGAAGCGUCCUUCUUCAGGGUACGCAGAUGCAGAUCAAUAGAGCCCAGCAGAGAAACUUAAGCCCAACAAGGGGCUGAGCUGAUGGCCAUUUGCUUUGUCAAGAGAAAUAAGUACCUGGAAGUUCACUAACAUACAGAAAAAUCUGCUCAAGUAUAAACUGCCUUCAUUCUUUGUAUGCGUGGCUGGGGUGAGAGCUUUGGCAUAUGUAAGAGGCAUAUGACAACCAAGGAAUCCAGAGACGGACUAUAGUCUUCAAGAUCUUAUGUCACCACUUCAUGUACCCUGGGACAAGUCAGACGACUUGUCUGUGCCCUUAGAUUUCUAUCACUGGAUACCUACCUUCUU